GAUGAACGCUGGCGGCGUGCCUAAUACUUGCAAGUCGAGCGAACAGACGAGGAGCUUGCUCCUCUGACGUUAGCGGCGGACGGGUGAGUAACACGUGGAUAACCUACCUAUAAGACUGGGAUAACUUCGGGAAACCGGAGCUAAUACCGGAUAAUAUAUUGAACCGCAUGGUUCAAUAGUGAAAGACGGUUUUGCUGUCACUUAUAGAUGGAUCCGCGCCGCAUUAGCUAGUUGGUAAGGUAACAGCUUACCAAGGCAACGAUGCGUAGCCGACCUGAGAGGGUGAUCGGCCACACUGGAACUGAGACACGGUCCAGACUCCUACGGGAGGCAGCAGUAGGGAAUCUUCCGCAAUGGGCGAAAGCCUGACGGAGCAACGCCGCGUGAGUGAUGAAGGUCUUCGGAUCGUAAAACUCUGUUAUUAGGGAAGAACAAAUGUGUAAGUAACUAUGCACGUCUUGACGGUACCUAAUCAGAAAGCCACGGCUAACUACGUG
rnacentral:rRNA from 1 species